UGUAUUUGAUAUUUUGAAAGUGUAGAUAUCUUCGCGGAGUUAUAAACCGUUUACAGUCUUAAAAGGUAUCCUAAUAGUGAAAUAUUGUCAAAUUACAAUCACGGACAAAGAUUCGUUUCAACGACGGUGAGAGAGAAUCUUCGGUAUCUCCUCAGAAGUCCAACAAGACUCGUCGUUAAAUGCGAGAUGAAAAAUGAAGCGAUUUCAUCGUGAUAUAUCGUGAGCAAUAUAUUGCGAUUUGUUCCUUGCAAUAACCAAUUUUUUAUCAAAUUUUAUUGGGACAAUGUUAUCGUCAGAUGAGUUCGUUAAGGAGAGAGGGAAGAGGAUGGCUUGAUUACUAGAUGAUCAUACGAGAGCGAGAAGGAUAAUAGUCGAGAAAAGUGUGGAGAUGCUGGAAGCGGUGAAGAAUGGAGAUGAAUUGCUGUGCACAUCCUAGUGGGGGUGUCCCGGAGCUGGUAAAGUGGCAGGAAUAAUGAGCUCAUUACCGUGCAAAUUAGCUGUGCGAUUCGUUGGCUCAGUCAAGGACGACGAUAUUACACGAUGGUCGACGAUACAAGUUCGAGAACGUUGCCAAGGAGCUCCAUUGAAAAACGAGAGCCCGUGGUGAAGUACCCCCACGCGUGUCACGGGGGUGCAGUUCGUGUGUACUUGCACCCGCCUGUGUAUAUCCUCUUUUUCCGUAACAGGAGAAAGAGAGAAAGAAGCUUUUGUCGUGUUCACCGAGCGUCGAUGAAAAGCAAUCCCGGCGAAUGAAAAUAAACGGGUCCGGCCGACCACUCGACGAACCAACUGGCGUGCGUGUUACGGUUGAGAGUUUAAAGAGGGUUGGAUCGGGGGUUGAAUCGGGGGGAGACGAAGGAGCACGUUCCAAGGCGGCGCAACACGAGGGCGGCAGCGCCAGCCAAGCUUCGAUGUUUCACCCAUGGUCGAUCAGGAAAUUGGCUCUCCUUUCGUCGUUUUAUCGCGCGUAAAACUGUGACGCCUCUAACCCUGGUGACGACUUAAUUUACCGGCACAAUGCUUAGACCCAGCGAGAAUUUCAACUCUCUUCUCCCUUUCUUUGUUUCUUUUACCUUCUUUCAUUCUUGUAUCUUUGCUACUGUCGCAAAGUUGCUGAUUAAUGGGUUCGAAGAUCAUUGGAUCUUACCAAUCCCCUUUUGGGGUUUAUUCCGACAGUUUCGGUCAUCUCAUAAAGAUUGGUUAUAUCUUCCUUUCUUGUUUUUUUUUUAAUUAGUAUCUUUCAUUAAUUUUUGUUGUAUUUUUACGGUUGAACUAACCGGUUGGCAUCGCCUGCAAUCAUAUUAGUUACACCGACGUUGGGACGUAUACACAUUAGAUUAAGUUAAAUAACUUAACGCGUUUCAAAGAGUUAAAGACGCCUGAACAUGCCUCGAGAUUUAUAGCCACCUAUCUUUGUUUUAUUGUUCGUUUUAUUUUUGCAAGUUUAUGACGUUUGUUGUUUCAUUGGCGAGGCUCUUGCGGGCUUUAAUAAUGAUUCCAGUGAAGGAGACUGAGUAUUCGCAAUCUUAAUCGCUUCAAACGAAAGUUUAAUCUUUUACGGCUAUCUACCGGUGUGAAACUUUCCCCGGGCAGCUACUCGUGUAGGAAAAAUUGCGAGGAAGCUCUUUUGGAAGUUAGAGAAGAGGAUUCUUACUGUAAAGAAUCUUCGUCCAAAGUUCUGAAUCGUAGAUACCUGUGUAGCGCGAUCCAGGAGCCUUAAAUACACAACGAGGAUAAUUUACUGAAGUAGACUAUUAGGAAAAUAUGGAGAGCAAACUGAAAAGAAGACCUCUUAACCUAAUGUCCAAGUAGAAACCAGUAUUGUGCAGUAUUAAAAAAUUAUUGAAGUAAACGUCGUCUACUCUUAUCAGUUUAUUAUUUUUUUGUUUAAUCUUUACAGCAGGUAUUUCGAUCAAAAGUACUGUAGACGACACAGAAAAUCUGUGGUAUAAAAGUCUAAUGUUCGAUAGAAGAGAUUUAAAAAUAUUCCCCUUUCAUAAUUAAAGAGGUAUCUUAUUUGAGCUUCAAAUUCCUUCAACGUUUUACCACAUUUCUGAAAUCUUUUUCUUUAAAUACUUAAGCUUAAUAAAAAGUGCGGUAAUAUGAAGUAGGAAUAGGCAGCGUUGGAAUUUGGGUUAACCUUGACGCCUUUGCUCACAUUUUUACACUACGUAACAGAAAGGCAAGAAAAAAGAAUACAAAGAAAAUACGGCAAGAAGAAAAGGAAAAAUCAAACUUGUUAUAUUCGCGAAGAAAGGGAAGAAUUUCAUGUUGACGUGAUAUGACGCGACGUGACCCCAGGGUGUAGCAUUUCCCGGCAACCAGCCGGAACCUUCAAGAACACGGGAAAAGAACAGCGCGGAUAUCCGUGGGCAGACUUUAAAGUAAUAAUCCAGAGACGAGGAGCGAAGUAAUUUCAAUUGUAAAUGCCCGGGCGCGGUUAACUUUGUUCGCUAAGGAAAAUAGCCAAGACGCGGACCUUUCUUCCCAUGAUCAACCAGGGUCAGAGGUGACAGUCAUAGAUUCAGUUCUAACGUGUUUAAAUCGCUUUCCAUUCUUGUAACGUGAAAAACACCAAAAUGGGGAGGAAUAAAACUAGUCUUCGAACUUGAUUUAUGGCUUUACAUUUUCGCGAUCGCCAACGAUAAAUUUGUAUUAGCCUAUAGUAAUUAUUAUACAAUAGGCUGACCGCUAUUAACACGGGAAUAUUAAUUAUUUCAAUAUCUGAAAAAUUUUGUUGACAGAAAAGCUGGGUUACAUCGGUGAUUACGGUAAUCCUUUAAAAGAGUCUAAUUUUGAUCGAUUGUUCUUGAUCAAUAUACGCAUGAUUUUCCCAGAUCUUUCUCGCAACACUGUGAGUAUUGUAGGAAUAAAUAUAUUUUAUCGUAGCGGAGAAUAGUUGCAUUAUGAUGUUAGUUAGUAGUUCAUUUACAUGUUUGAUUAUCGAUUAUUAAAGGUAGUUGAAUUUGAUUUGCAUAAAUACAAUGAACGAGUGAAUGCAAAUUGGCACGUUGGUAUGAUUACGAAAGUACGAUGACCGAAGAUGAAAAAGCCACGUGUAUCAUUCCAAAUGCAAUUUUUUUUAUUUAAUUAACUUUUUAGUUUUAUCGAAAUAAAGCGCACAUGAGUUUAUGGAAUAUUUGAUUUGCCAUUUAUCAAUAAAUAAUUUAAACACGUUAUUCACUGAAUAAGCGUUUCAAAACUUAUAUCCUUAGAGAUCGAAGAAUUCUCUGGCCCAUAUGUUUAACAUACUUCGUAACAAGUACUUUAAAACAGUACUUUAGUACUAAUUGGUAUCAAUGUCUGUUACACGUGUAAUUCGGGUCAGAACCUCAUUGCGUGUACGUAUGAUAGCUCUUGAAUUACGUUGUUUUCUGCUUCAUAAAAUUUAUCUUAUUAGUAGAAUAAAUGUAAGCAAAUACAUGGACCAAUAGUGAAAUUUCUUUUCACGUGUAUUUAUAAUUAUCGAAUAUUACGUUUUACGUAAAAAUAUAACGUCGAAAACAAACAGUAACUUGAGCAACGCGUGAUCAUCAAGCGACACUUCGUAAAAAAGCGAAUAUUAUUAUUCCUCGCUGAGAUGAACUUCUUUAAAAUGGAAAAUAUUUGCCAACAAAAAUUGUCGCGGAAUCAUCGCGGACACAAAUUGUCAUGGACUGUAAAUAUUUACGCAAAUACAUGUUUUUAUGAAAACAGUUAAAAAAAAAGUAAUCAGAAAUUUGCUUCGCCUAUUAUAUAUUAUAAUAAAAACUGUACGUUAGAUACUUCGUAGAAUUAAAUUCCACGCAACGUAUACAUUACCUUCGAUAUAAUGUAACAUCCAAUAAAUGAGGAGAGAUAUGUACAUUGACAAAAAAAUACGAACCGAAAAUACUAAGAGAAUAAAAGAUAUAAUGGGGACAGAAGGUUAUAUAAUUUCUACAAAUGUGCAAUGUUUGCGAACAUGUAAAAGAGGGGAGAUUGUUUAGUGGCGUUCGAAGCGAAAGCAAUGAAAACGAAAAAGAGGAAUUCACCGAUGGCAUAAGAAUAAAAACAUCUGUCGUGGUUGAGUUUCGUAUGUGGCGAUGCGUUUGAAAAUCUCAUUUGCCUCGACGAUGUUUUUCUUCUACCUUACUGCGACCAUGGACAAACAGUUAUGCAUAUUCGUUCUAUAUUUUUUCAACGAUGCGAGCAAAAUUGAAACGCGCUUUGCGAGAUUGAAAGAAACGAAUGACGUGGAAGGAAUAAAAUUAGACACGGAAAGGGGCAGCGAAAGAAGAUAUUAUGACUCGCAAUGGCGAACGUAAAAGUUUCUCGUUCGCGACGAUAUCGGAAACGGGGAGAAGGAAAUUCAAGAAACAACCGUUGGAAUGAACGAUGGAAAAAAGGACGAUACUCAACCUGGAUGAAUAUUGUGCUCGAUAGGGAAAGUAGAUACUUAUGUAUUUCAAUUGAAAAUUCCUUUAUCCGGUUAAUAGAAAAGAAGAGAUGAAUUAAAAAAAUAAAAGAAGAAAGAGAACUGCGUAGUAGAAAGUAAUAAAGAAUUCCGUACGACGAAGAGAGUGAUAAAAUGAUAAGAAACAAAAAGUCUUAAGGAAAUUUUAGGAGAAAUGCAAAUGAAGUAGCGUAGUAAGAGAAGUGCAAGUACAAUAAAGUGGGAUUUAUAUGCAUAUGUAUAUGCUAAACUGAUACUUGGAAAUCAAGAAAGUUUUUGAUACUGACAAGCUUCUUAACAAGUUCCAAAGAAUAUUUGCAACGUGCUGUAUCCUAAUACAUAUUUAAUCAGCCAAAGUUAAAUGUUCUAGUGGUAGUUAUAGACGUCAUGUUAUUUUGUCAAGGUACGGUCAUAUAGCUUGUAACUUGGCCAUUAACGACCAAACGAUAAAACAAUUCGAAAAAUGUAUUUCCUGGGUUUCUUACCAGUAUCUCUUUUUUUCUAAUAAUGGAAUAAAUAAACAACAGAAAGAUAGAUGAAAUUGCCAAUUCAACUCUUCAACGAGACACUUGAAACUUAACAAGAUUUAGAUACCAUCGAGCAUUUUUACAUAAUUCAUAAGAAAGAACAUUUCGGUUUAGUAGAUGAUUUAAGAUCCUUCUACAGUACCUUACAAUUCAUUUCGUUUCAUGCUUAUUGAAAUUGAAUAGAAAAAAAAUGCCAUAAGAUUACCAGUGUAUCUUUAACUUCUUAACGCGAUAGAAGGAAAUGGCGAGGAAGUAUUAUCGAAAAUAGCGCGAUCAACUAGAAAGGAGUGAAACAUUCAGCGAGAAUCGAGAAAGAGUUCCGGACGAUGAUAUGGAUCGAAUUAAAUUGAAUAUGCUCUCGCUAAACAGCAGGGAUAUGUUGAAUUGAAUUUGGACGGAAGCACCGGCUGUAAUUCGAUUCGCGAACGUCUAACUGAAAAGCACGCUACUAGCACUCUAUUUUUGCUAUUCGACAAAGGAAUACGAUGAUUGCAUGGCUUCUAGGAUAGAAAGGGAAGAAAAUAUAAAUAACAUCGUACAAUGGUACCUAUGUUUCCGUGCGAGGGCGCAAUAACGUUUGCAACUUCUACUUUGUAUUCUCAUUACGUGUUUCCUGCACGAUUAAUAUUGAAACAAAAAUGUCGGGCGGUUGGCCAGGAAACGGAAUUAAUAAAGCGUUGCGUUUAUUUCUUGUUGUUACGGAAUACAGGCAUGACCGUAUGCCAAAAGACAGAAUAUAUCAGCUUUGUAAAAGUUUUGAAUAAUUUCGUAGAAUCGAUAGAGGAGAUACUUUUCUUGUAAGUAAUAUCAGAGGAUAGUUCUGAUGUUGCUUAUAAAACAUUCGUUCAAAUUACGAUAAUAAACGAUAGUCCUCUUUUAAUGAUAUUUUUCAACUCGCAAAUUACAAAUUAUCGAUAGAUUCUCUUGCGUAAUUGGAACAAGCUUGAUAACGAAACGAAUGAAAUUUUACAAGCGUACUUUCAUUCGCAUAAAAUUCUAAUAUUACAAGAAGAAACCCAAUCGUCGCUCGUUAUUCGCAACUACUGUAAUCGUUGUACAAGGAGAUUCAAGUUUAGGAGAAAAGAAACGCAACAGAUACAGAGUCGUUCUUAUAAAGAAAGUCAAUGAAUUUAAAGUAUGAUUUGUUAUUUCAUCCACCGUAUUGACCAGACGAGACUUAGUUAUACCUGACAUUCGUCCAUUACCACGAGUAAACAACAUUUCCUUACUGCGAAUAAAUUCUCAGUUUCCCUCUCCGAUUGUUCUCUGCCAAC